GACGUAGGACACAAGCGUUAUCCGGAGUUACUGGGCGUAAAGGGCGCGUAGGUGGUGGCUUAAGCGUGCGGUGAAAGCUCGGAGCUCAACUCCGAGUCGGCCGUGCGAACUGGGCUCACUGGAGCAUAGUAGAGGCAGGUGGAAUUCCGGGUGUAGCGGUGGAAUGCGUAGAGAUCCGGAAGAACACCGGUGGCGAAGGCGGCCUGCUGGGCUAUGGCUGACACUGAGGCGCGACAGCGUGGGGAGCAAACAGG
rnacentral:rRNA from 1 species